UACGUAGGGUGCAAGCGUUGUCCGGAAUUAUUGGGCGUAAAGAGCUCGUAGGCGGUUUGUCGCGUCUGCUGUGAAAACCCGAGGCUCAACCUCGGGCCUGCAGUGGGUACGGGCAGACUAGAGUGCGGUAGGGGAGAUUGGAAUUCCUGGUGUAGCGGUGGAAUGCGCAGAUAUCAGGAGGAACACCGGUGGCGAAGGCGGUUCUCUGGGCAUUACCUGACGCUGAGGAGCGAAAGUGUGGGGAGCGAACAGG
rnacentral:rRNA from 1 species